CCCCCACCGGCCGGACGGCGCGGGGAUUCCCAGUCCUGGCUCCGCCCCGGCCUCGGCCCCGCCCCCGCCCCUGCCCCGGGGCAGCCUGUGCUGUUCCGUGUGCGCGGCGCAUACGCACCUGGGUUGUCUCGAGCCUGCGGUAGUGGCCAGAUCCCAGACAUCCGAGUAGAUCCCGUGAAAAGCUUCUUCUUGGUUUCUUCGUACAUUCUGGAUCCACCCCUUUCAUGCAUAUUCCAGACCACAUUUCCACUGGAGCAGUUGAAAUGAGAGAGAUGGGAAUGGGACUCACCCGAACCAGAGGAAUUUUUAUUACAGACCCAUUAACAGAGGUGUCAAAGUCACAGGAACAAGGAUGUGCACCUCAGAAACACAGAGGUCAGUGGAAAAUCAGUUUGCUUCUAUUUGUUUAAAAAAUGGGGGACUUAUGCAUAAAUCUAAGACCUUCUUGAAUCUAACAUUCUAAGACCUGUAUGCCACAGAAAGGAGGGUCUCAGAACGCCGGAGGAUAGUAUUUAAAUCUUAAAUAUCUAUAUUGUUCUCCACAGUUACUGGGUCACCACAUAGCAGGCAUUCAAUAAAAACGUGUUUGUUUACUAAGUAAUCUAGAGAUAAAUUUUUU
rnacentral:lncRNA from 1 species